GUGCGAGAGGAGGGGUGUGUGUAAAUGGAAUGUGUCAGGGCUCUAAUUUGGUAUGGAGCUAUUUCACACUGGGCUGCAGCAUGCUGCAGACUGGUGAAUAACUACUGUGGUGGUGAGAUCAUACACUCUGACUGGAACAACUGAUCUAGGAUAAGUGAGCCCGGUGCAGACUGGAUGCCACAUUCCACACAGGAGAAUCAAUCUGAAGGUGGAAACUAAGGAGUUAGGCUGGCUGAAGUAAUGUAAUGCAUCCCAUAUGUAGGCAUUCCUGCACUGCCUGUAGUGUCUGUCAGCGUCUCAUAUUCUGGACCUUGAAGUUGAUUCCUCGGCAGCCAGUUGCAUCCUGGGAAGGCUGUUCCAUGGGUCCAGGCUGGGAGUGAAUCUCAAAUGUAUUUUCUUGAUUCCUUGUGUCCUUUCUCCUUGAUUCCUUCUCCAAGUUCAUUGGGGAACAAGGUCUAAGGGGAGGAAAAUUUGACCAUUUCUUCCAAUGUGUUUUGAGAAGGAGCGAGGAGAGAGGACAGGGGCAAUCAAGGAAAUACAAUUGAGAUUCACCCAGGGGCUCUCCUCCUGUCCUGCGUCGCCCUGCUCUCAUUGGCAGACCGAUCGUCAGCUCCAGCAGCUGCGUCUCUGUCUAUCUGUCGGCCUCACCCUCGGCCCCUCGGGACAUUUAGUUCUGCCUGCUCUGACUCUGGUCCCUGUCUCCCUGACUUCUCGUCAGUCCUGCUACUCUGCCCUGGAUUCCCCACUCUAUGCUCCCUUCAAUUCCCCUCCGGACCUGCUUACCCUGUCCCAACACCUCUCGCUCCAGCCUCAGCCUCCGCACCUGGUUUCCGGCAACCCGCCCGAGCUUCCCCUGGCCCGCACUCAAUCUUCCCCCCGUGCUUCAAUAAAUACCUUGGUUACCUCAUCCCAGUCUCCUCGUGUGAGUCUGCUCUUGGGUUCAGCUGUUCCGCUCCGUGUGACACUCCUAUAAGUGCAGAGGAGGCGGAGAGGGCCCUGUCUGAGCAUGUGUAUAUUAAGAUGUAUAUUAUGGGCAUGAUUAAAAUCGGUUUAUUUCUCAGAACAUUGUUUUACCGUCAUUCAUGCAGGGCUACAACUGCUUAUGUACACUUUGCAGAAAGCUAGUAAGGUAGGGAGGGCAGCAGAAAUGGACUGGCCAUUGGGCCGUUCGGGAAAAGGUCAGAUGGGCUGGUCCAUAUGUAGCUCAGUGGGCCUGUCUAAAUUGUUGUUUUGUGUGUGUAUCAGACCUGGGAUAACUACAGAUUUUAAUAUGCUUCGUGAG
rnacentral:lncRNA from 1 species